AAACAGGCAGAUUCCUGCACCCAGAGCUCUGAAUUCCAGGGCUGGGUCCAGGAAUGCGCUCUUAAAGAAAGAAAGGUCUCCAUGUUUUUGUAAUUACCACUUAAGAAGGGAUAUGUAUAUUCAAGAGGAGAGCUUUGUGCCCUGCAGCUCUGUUAACCUGCUCCUCUCUUCCAUGUAAAGACUGUCUUUCAUGGGGGGCUGGGAGAAGCCUGUAGAUUUUAAACCAGUGCAGGAAUGUAGACGGGCGUAUUCCCAACAGAUCUGGGGGAGAAUUCCGACCUGCUGGAUUCUUCAGCUGAGCUAACUGCUCUAGCACCGUGCUCUCACCUCAGAACCAUAACCGGGUAACCGGCCUGCAUGACUCAGGCGCACAGGCCGCAGGAUGGGUGGGCGGCCAGCCUGGGGACUGAAGAGAUCUUGACAAUCUGAGAAGCAACCAAGCACGGAAGGAGAGACAGUCUUGGUUUCCACAGGAGAGGUUCUGAAGGAGCUCGACUAAGCACCCACUGUCCCCGCAAAGGGCCGAAGAGUGUGCCCAGCCUCAGAUGAAAGCUUGUGUCUCCAUCCACAUUUCGGCACCCCCUGGAAGCCAGACGCUGACUAGGAGCUCACAGUUUGGUCCUGGCCCUUCCUAGCCAUGCCGCUAACCACAGGCCUGAGUCCAGCGGGAAGAAGCAGAGGUUGCAGGCUCUGGCUCUGCCCAGCUGCCCCUCCCACCCAGACCCUGGCGAGAAGAGCAGCAAAUAGUUCCCCGGAAGUCAGAUCCCUGAGGGCGCCCAUCACGACUUACAAAAGAUGAAGCCCGACCUUCCACAGGGUUCUGAGGGGAAGCCAGGCAAAGACAAAGGAAUGCAGACCCAGGAGGCCGAGAGCGGCCCACAGCUUACUCUCCCUGCGCAUCCCGGCUGCUGCUACCCGACCCUUAUAAGUCACAUGUCUCAUCAAGAAACUUGGGCAGCUGGAUAAUCUAUUGAUGAUUAAGAUAAAGCUUUCUGCCAAGCUUUUCAGGCUCCAGGAUUCAUUUUAAGUGGAGAACCCCGUUCUGCAAAAGAAAGCCACAGAACAUGAUGACAGCAGCCCCCACCCCUGCUACGGUUUGCCUGGGAGUCAGGACUACCUUGGUCCUCCCUACCAGAACCAAAAGGAGGACUGGGUUGGCCGGCAAGGCUGCUCCGGGCUCUCAGCCUUCCCCAGGUGGCCGCUGUGUGUUCAGCUGGGCACCAGCGCCCAUCUUCAUGGGCUUUAUGUAAGAACAAAGGUUUUGAAUUAGAACAUGCACAAUUACAUACACUGAUUGACAGACUUGUCUUUCUGAUAUCGGGGCUCUUGUGUGUAUCCGUUUGGUUACAUAAAAGAUUCUAUUAAAAAGUUUGUAAACCGCUACUCUGCAAUUCUAUUGCAUGAUUUGUAGUUGAGAAAGCUGGCGCCACAGGGUGGGGUGACCGGCCAGAUGUGGCUCCAGUUUCCUUCUCCAUGUCACAUGCCCCUCCUCCUCCUCUAGACUCAUUGCCGCUCAGUUCUGCCCAUUCCCUGGCCCAGCUGGGGCCCAUGCCGUCUGUUA
ensembl:lncRNA